UAGGCCGAGUCGGGAACUGCAGUCCGGGUGAAGCGAAUACACGUCACCACCGGAAGUAGUGUCAGAGGUGAAGAGGA